AGCGACUUAUAUUCUGUAGCAAGGUUAACCGAAUAGGGGAGCCGGAGGGAAACCGAGUCUUAACCGGGCGUUAAGUUGCAGGGUAUAGACCCGAAACCCGGUGAUCUAGCCAUGGGCAGGUUGAAGGUUGGGUAACACUAACUGGAGGACCGAACCGACUAAUGUUGAAAAAUUAGCGGAUGACCUGUGGCUGGGGGUGAAAGGCCAAUCAAACCGGGAGAUAGCUGGUUCUCCCCGAAAGCUAUUUAGGUAGCGCCUCGUGAAUUCAUCUCCGGGGGUAGAGCACUGUUUCGGCUAGGGGGCCAUCCCGGCUUACCAACCCGAUGCAAACUGCGAAUACCGGAGAAUGUUAUCACGGGAGACACACGGCGGGUGCUAACGUCCGUCGUGAAGAGGGAAACAACCCAGACCGCCAGCUAAGGUCCCAAAGUCAUGGUUAAGUGGGAAACGAUGUGGGAAGGCCCAGACAGCCAGGAUGUUGGCUUAGAAGCAGCCAUCAUUUAAAGAAAGCGUAAUAGCUCACUGGUCGAGUCGGCCUGCGCGGAAGAUGUAACGGGGCUAAACCAUGCACCGAAGCUGCGGCAGCGACGCUGAUGCGUUGUUGGGUAGGGGAGCGUUCUGUAAGCCUGCGAAGGUGUGUCGUGAGGCAUGCUGGAGGUAUCAGAAGUGCGAAUGCUGACAUAAGUAACGAUAAAGCGGGUGAAAAGCCCGCUCGCCGGAAGACCAAGGGUUCCUGUCCAACGUUAAUCGGGGCAGGGUGAGUCGACCCCUAAGGCGAGGCCGAAAGGCGUAGUCGAUGGGAAACGGGUUAAUAUUCCCGUACUUGGUGUUACUGCGAAGGGGGGACGGAGAAGGCUAUGUUGGCCGGGCGACGGUUGUCCCGGUUUAAGCGUGUAGGUGUGUGUUCCAGGUAAAUCCGGUUCACUUUAACACUGAGGCGUGAUGACGAGGCACUACGGUGCUGAAGCAACAAAUGCCCUGCUUCCAGGAAAAGCCUCUAAGCAUCAGGUAACAUCAAAUCGUACCCCAAACCGACACAGGUGGUCAGGUAGAGAAUACCAAGGCGCUUGAGAGAACUCGGGUGAAGGAACUAGGCAAAAUGGUGCCGUAACUUCGGGAGAAGGCACGCUGACACGUAGGUGAAGUGAUUUACUCAUGGAGCUGAAGUCAGUCGAAGAUACCAGCUGGCUGCAACUGUUUAUUAAAAACACAGCACUGUGCAAACACGAAAGUGGACGUAUACGGUGUGACGCCUGCCCGGUGCCGGAAGGUUAAUUGAUGGGGUCAGCGCAAGCGAAGCUCCUGAUCGAAGCCCCGGUAAACGGCGGCCGUAACUAUAACGGUCCUAAGGUAGCGAAAUUCCUUGUCGGGUAAGUUCCGACCUGCACGAAUGGCGUAAUGAUGGCCAGGCUGUCUCCACCCGAGACUCAGUGAAAUUGAACUCGCUGUGAAGAUGCAGUGUACCCGCGGCAAGACGGAAAGACCCCGUGAACCUUUACUAUAGCUUGACACUGAACAUUGAGCCUUGAUGUGUAGGAUAGGUGGGAGGCUUUGAAGUGUGGACGCCAGUCUGCAUGGAGCCGGCCUUGAAAUACCACCCUUUAAUGUUUGAUGUUCUAACGUGGACCCGUGAUCCGGGUUGCGGACAGUGUCUGGUGGGUAGUUUGACUGGGGCGGUCUCCUCCUAAAGAGUAACGGAGGAGCACGAAGGUUGGCUAAUCCUGGUCGGACAUCAGGAGGUUAGUGCAAUGGCAUAAGCCAGCUUGACUGCGAGCGUGACGGCGCGAGCAGGUGCGAAAGCAGGUCAUAGUGAUCCGGUGGUUCUGAAUGGAAGGGCCAUCGCUCAACGGAUAAAAGGUACUCCGGGGAUAACAGGCUGAUACCGCCCAAGAGUUCAUAUCGACGGCGGUGUUUGGCACCUCGAUGUCGGCUCAUCACAUCCUGGGGCUGAAGUAGGUCCCAAGGGUAUGGCUGUUCGCCAUUUAAAGUGGUACGCGAGCUGGGUUUAGAACGUCGUGAGACAGUUCGGUCCCUAUCUGCCGUGGGCGCUGGAGAACUGAGGGGGGCUGCUCCUAGUACGAGAGGACCGGAGUGGACGCAUCACUGGUGUUCGGGUUGUCAUGCCAAUGGCACUGCCCGGUAGCUAAAUGCGGAAGAGAUAAGUGCUGAAAGCAUCUAAGCACGAAACUUGCCCCGAGAUGAGUUCUCCCUGAGACUUAGAGUCUCCUGAAGGAACGUUGAAGACGACGACGUUGAUAGGCCGGGUGUGUAAGCGCAGCGAUGCGUUGAGCUAACCGGUACUAAUGAACCGUGAGGCUUAACCUUACAACGCCGAAG
rnacentral:rRNA from 1 species